GAUGGCGACCUUUUGCGCCGACGGGACGGUGCCCAAACGACAAGGCUCGCAAGCGCUCCGUGAGCUCAAUGGACGUGUGGAACCAACGGCUAGCCGUUAAUAAUAAUAAUAAUAAUAAAAAGAUAUAGGUUGCGGGAAUAUGGCCCUGUUGGACAGGAUACGGAAGGAAUGGUUUAUAAUCGGGAUCGUGCUCGUGAUUUCGUUUGCCAAGCUGGAGCCCUCGGUUGGGGUGAGAGGAGGUCCCUUGAAGCCCGAGAUUACAGUCACAUAUUUUGCUGUGUCUGCCAUAUUCUUUAACAGUGGAUUAUCGUUAAAAACAGAGGAGCUGACAAGCGCUUUGAUGCAUGUGAAGCUCCACCUCUUCGUCCAGACAUUCACACUGGCCUUCUUCCCUGUCGCAAUAUGGCUCUUCCUGAAGCUUCUGGCUUUAACAGCCAUCAAUGAGUGGUUGCUGAAAGGGUUACAGACGGUCGGCUGCAUGCCUCCGCCGGUCUCCUCGGCUGUCAUAUUGACGAAAGCGGUUGGAGGGAAUGAGGCUGCUGCCAUAUUUAACUCCGCCUUCGGCAGCUUUUUGGGCAUAGUGGUUACUCCUGUGUUGCUCCUCAUAUUCCUGGGCUCCUCUUCCUCAGUGCCAUUCUCCUCCAUCUUCUCCCAGCUCUUCAUGACCGUGGUGGUUCCACUGAUCGUAGGUCAGGUGUGCCGGCGUUUUGUGAAGGACUGGCUGGAGCGAAGGAAGCCGCCGUUCGGGGCCAUUAGCAGCGCCGUGCUGCUCAUCAUCAUCUACACCACCUUCUGCGACACCUUCUCCAACCCCAACAUCCACCUGGACCGGCUCAGCCUGCUGCUGGUGGUUUUCAUCAUCUUCUCCAUCCAGCUGGGCUUCAUGCUGCUGGCCUUCAUGUUCAGCACCAGGAGGACGUCGGCAUUCACGCCUGCAGACACCGUGGCUAUCAUAUUCUGCGCUACGCACAAGUCUCUCACCUUGGGUAUCCCCAUGCUGAACAUCGUCUUCGAGGGCUUCGAGCACCUCUCCCUGAUCUCCGUACCCCUGCUGAUCUACCACCCCGCACAGAUCCUCCUGGGUAGCAUCCUGGUGCCGACCAUCAAGUCCUGGAUGGUGACCAGGCAGAGGGUAAGAUUCACCGCCACACCCUCUGUAUGAGGAACGUCCCCCCAGCAUAAACAUCCAGGGAAUCACACCCCCUCCCUCCACUCGCCUGGCUGUAGGAUGAAUUUGGUAUCCAGGUUCCAAGGUCAGAUCAGUGGGGUGUUUAAAAAUUAAAGCCAUAACUGAAGUUUAAUGAAUCACCUGAAUGGAGCCUCAUUCACAGUUCAUUUCUUUAAUGGAUGCGCUUCCCAUUUAGAUAUGGUAAGCAGCUGGCAGUGUUGGGAGGAAGGUAUCUGAGUGUUGAGGUUCUUCAAGUGAAGCAGAGAAGAAGCAGGAAAACAAUUUUAAUGGAAAAACAGUAGUGACCAGGCCAUUAGCAUGAAGUAGCUGUGUGAAUCUCACACCUCAAUAACAGGUGUGAGUGGUAAUUACUGUGGGCAAUGCCCCCACCCACACACCGACUGGUAGAGGAAAAAUACAACACUUAUAUUAUUACAGCAAAAUUAAUGCAAGUAAACAGCCGUGGCUAACAAAACAGUUCAGCCUGUUGACUGUGAUGAGUGAAUGCUCACUGUAUAAUAGCAGUUAGGAAUUAUAACUGUGAAAUGUAAAGUGCAUCACUACGGAAACAGUGACGUGACACAGGAAUUAGUCAGGAAUAACAGAGUUGAUACGGCACAGAGAUCAGCCAGGAUUACAGAUGUGAUGUAUCACAGGGAUUAGGAUUACAGUUGUGAUUUGGCACAGAGAUCAGUCUGGAAUAACCGAUGACAUGGCACAGAGAUCAGUCAGGAUUACAACUGUGAUUUGGCACAGAUCAAUCAGGAUUACAGCUGUGAUUUGGCACAGAGAUCAGUCUGGAAUAACAGAUGGCAUGGCACAGAGGUUAAUCAGGAAUAACAGGUGAUGUGGUACAGAGAUCAGUCAGGAAUGACAAGGUGAUGUGGCACAGAUCAAUCAGGAUUACAGCUGUGAUGUGGCACAGAGAUUAGUGUGGAAUCAUGACGUGGCACAGAGAUUAGUCAGGAAUGACAGGUGAUGUGGUACAGAGAUCAGUCAGGAUUACAGCUGUCACAUGGCACAGAUCGGGCAGGAUUACAGCUGUGAUGUGGCACAGAGAUCAGUCAGGAAUAAUAAAGGUGAAGUGGCACAGAGAUAAGUCAUGAGUAAUGUUAGGAUAAAACUAUUCUGAGGGAAAGAAUUGUGCCAAGAUGUAGUUUUCACCGUGCAAGUGAUAACAGCUGUGACGUGGGACAGAGGCGUUGCACAGAGACCCGCGCGGCUGUGAGCUGACGCUAAUCCUUCCCACGUGUUUUUGUCUCUCCUUAGUCCCUUUUACUGUUGCAUUAGGAUUUUUCCCAGCUCGACACAGAGGAGUAUGUAAGUAUGGAUCUGCCAGAUCAGAUCAGCUUGGCCGUCCCUGGUGAAGGACCUCUAUCUGUGGUUUCCCGUACACUGAUGACUCAUUUAAUCGUCAUCAUGUAAAAUCAGGCUCCUUGUGUGAUUCGCGUGAUUCUGCACAUGAUGAUGGGUGAUGCGGGAGAAAUCGAGUGAAUCUAGCUUUGGAGAAGUGGUGUCCGGAUGUGCUGGCAGACGUUGCCAUUGGGAUUCGGGGGUCCGCCUGGUCAUUUUACUUACUGCAUUUACCCUUCCCCCAUCCUCUCCAGGCAGCACAACUGACCAAGCUUCAGCCCGUAUGAGAGAACCUGCACAUGUGAUGAGAACAGAUCAGGACUAUUCCCAGGUGCUAUACCCAAACCAGGACCCCGACCUGCCCCGCCUGUCCCACAAGCAGAAUGGUACAUUUUCUCAAGUGCCUUCUCUGGACCCCCGGGGGGCCGCCACCCUCCACCCGAUGUGUCUGCCGAAGGACCCUCCAAUUUUCUCCAUCAUGGGAUAUCCGCCUUGUGAUGAACAUGCUCAUACUAUAGACCGUGAGUGGACUUCCCAGCUGGUCCUGUGCAGAAAACACGGCCCCCCAGAACACCUGGUGGGGCUCCAGCAGCCCUGCGGGACUGACCCGGACAGCCAGAGCUCUGUUUUUAUAUCGUCCUCUCUUUUUUCAUAGAUGUAUUUUUUCAAAGAAUGAAUGUCUGACAAUCUGCGAAUGUGUCUUACGCUUCCUUUGGCUCUGCUAUGUGUUCAGCGGACCAUCUUGCAGAAGCCUGCGGAUCGGAGUUCCACGUUCACUUUGUUACAUUUAAACACCACAACUGCCUGCUCACUCGUGUAUUACCUUAAACUCUCCCGCCAUCAAUAAACCAUCGUGCCCUGCUACGUAAAUAAGCAGAGAGCAUCUGCCUUUAUUCAGUGGAGGAAAAGUCCAUUGCUUGGGCGAUCUUCACCCGGUAAGCUCUAAUUAGCGCAGGAAUGAUCUCGUUUAGGAUUCAGUGCGUCGAUACCUUGUGUUUUUGCCCAGAGGCUUGUGGGUGGCCUCAUUCCAUUAAAUCAGCAUGCUGCUGCUGGAUGUUUGUAAAAUAAUGGAGUCCAGAGGUGCGGCGUUUUAUGGCACUGAGAAGAUGUUAGUCUGGGUCUGCUGCUGAGACUGUGCCUGCAGUGUUACUGUAAGAAACGGCUGGGGGCUUAGGGCAAACCCCUGAUUUUUAAGGACCAACUGAACUGCCAUUUAUGUGUAACAUUCCCCACUGACGUACAUUAAGUUCAGUGCAUGUUUUUGCUUAGAUCCUUCAGCAUUCAGUCCAGUGUGAGUUGCCUAGUCUCUGAACAACUUAACUAGUCCUCAGAAGAUGCCACGGUCAGAAAGUAGAGGUUCUGUUGUGGAGCAUCAGGUACUGGCUAAAGAAGUGUGGUGUUCAUUGUGAACCAGAUGGUUCGGAACCAGGAACUCCCGGGCUCUCUUGCUGUAUUUAUGAUUUCCUGAGGUCUACAGAACAGGCCAUUGCCCACGUCCCUGUCUUUAUUUUUUCUAUGAGAUCCAUUAAUAUUAUGCCCUCGGAUUCUGUGAUUAAAUCAAUAAUGUCUUGCAGUUUAAUCAGAAUUAUUUACAGCCGCAAACUCCAAAUAUACAGCAAAAGUCAUUUUUAAUGUAUUUCUCUAAAUGAAGAUCUAUGUUACAGAGUAGGCCGAAGUGUUUAUUGUUGGUGUUUGUUUUAGUGGUUUGAACUGAGUUGCCAUGUUCUGCUUUAGACAGAAGCUUUCCUCUCAACCUGCCUUGUUUUUUUUUACACUAAGUACCAAAAAAACUAUUGAUGGUGAUCAUAUAAGUUUGAGGUUUUUGUAAUGGAAGGAUAACUAUUGGUGACACUGGCUUCUGAUUUUCUGAGUUUUCAAAUGACCAAAUGGGAGAAUAGUUAGAGAUUUUGUCCCUGGUUAUACCUGCUUUUUUUCCUUGCUUCAACGUUUGAUAAUACAGCAGCCCUUUCAGUCCCAGGCUUUGCAUACAUUCCGCUUCGCUGUCGGCAUGUGAGGAUGCCUGAGCCUCGUCCUUCCGUCCCCCUUUGUAGAGGGACCCUGCUCUCCAGUUCAUUUCACACUUCACCCAUAAUGUCACUGUAUGUUUAACUUUGAUGUUCUGUACAAACCUGACCCCUAAUGGAUGAAUGGUGAAUUUUCGUUUUCAGGCUGUUCACAAUGCAGUAGUUUUGUUUUAUUUUUUUAUUUCUUGUAAUUUUCUAAAACGGGCAAUUUUUGAAAAUACAAUUUUAAAAAGCAA